CUGUCCAUCAUUACUACCUGCUUAAGUACGCCGGGAUCUCUGUAGACUAAGUCAGUCAUCCUGUAGGCCCCACUGCCCACGCUGUGCCAAUAGCUGGUGUGCUUUUUCUCAGUCUUGAUGGGACCGUUUUACUCACCUGUCAGCCCAGAGCGCAGCGUUGCGCAGUCCGAAGCGAGAGAAGGGCGCGGCCCCCGCGGGCUCCCGCCCCUCUCACUGCCGAGGGGGCCUUUCGGAGCUCGGGCCCACCGGGUUGGAAGGCCCGGCUCCUCCGUGCCACAUUCACCACCAUCUCGAGGCCGUGGGAGGAAAAACCCGGCGAGUGCGCGCCAGCAGCAGCGACUAGCGGGGAACGGCGCGCAGGAAGGCAGGCAGAGGCUUGCAGCUAGUAAGUCGACACCGGGAAUGCGGCGGGGAGAAAGGGCGCUGAAGCCGCG
rnacentral:lncRNA from 1 species